UACAGAGGGUGCGAGCGUUAAUCGGAAUUACUGGGCGUAAAGCGUGCGUAGACGGUUAUUUAAGUCGGGUGUGAAAGCCCCGGGCUCAACCUGGGAAUUGCAUUCGAGACUGAAUAGCUAGGGUACGGUAGAGGGAAGUGGAAUUUCCGGUGUAGCGGUGGAAUGCGUAGAGAUCUGCAAGAACACCCGUGGCGAAGGCGGCCAGCUGGGCCGGAUCCGACGCUGAGGCGCGAAAGCGUGGGGAGCAAACAGG
rnacentral:rRNA from 1 species